GGUUAAGCGACUAAGCGUACACGGUGGAUGCCCUGGCAGUCAGAGGCGAUGAAGGACGUGCUAAUCUGCGAUAAGCGUCGGUAAGGUGAUAUGAACCGUUAUAACCGGCGAUUUCCGAAUGGGGAAACCCAGUGUGAUUCGUCACACUAUCAUUAACUGAAUCCAUAGGUUAAUGAGGCGAACCGGGGGAACUGAAACAUCUAAGUACCCCGAGGAAAAGAAAUCAACCGAGAUUCCCCCAGUAGCGGCGAGCGAACGGGGAGGAGCCCAGAGCCUGAAUCAGUGUGUGUGUUAGUGGAAGCGUCUGGAAAGGCGCGCGAUACAGGGUGACAGCCCCGUACACAAAAAUGCACAUGCUGUGAGCUCGAUGAGUAGGGCGGGACACGUGGUAUCCUGUCUGAAUAUGGGGGGACCAUCCUCCAAGGCUAAAUACUCCUGACUGACCGAUAGUGAACCAGUACCGUGAGGGAAAGGCGAAAAGAACCCCGGCGAGGGGAGUGAAAAAGAACCUGAAACCGUGUACGUACAAGCAGUGGGAGCACAGAGCAAUCUGUGUGACUGCGUACCUUUUGUAUAAUGGGUCAGCGACUUAUAUUCUGUAGCAAGGUUAACCGAAUAGGGGAGCCGAAGGGAAACCGAGUCUUAACUGGGCGUUAAGUUGCAGGGUAUAGACCCGAAACCCGGUGAUCUAGCCAUGGGCAGGUUGAAGGUUGGGUAACACUAACUGGAGGACCGAACCGACUAAUGUUGAAAAAUUAGCGGAUGACUUGUGGCUGGGGGUGAAAGGCCAAUCAAACCGGGAGAUAGCUGGUUCUCCCCGAAAGCUAUUUAGGUAGCGCCUCGUGAAUUCAUCUCCGGGGGUAGAGCACUGUUUCGGCAAGGGGGUCAUCCCGACUUACCAACCCGAUGCAAACUGCGAAUACCGGAGAAUGUUAUCACGGGAGACACACGGCGGGUGCUAACGUCCGUCGUGAAGAGGGAAACAACCCAGACCGCCAGCUAAGGUCCCAAAGUCAUGGUUAAGUGGGAAACGAUGUGGGAAGGCCCAGACAGCCAGGAUGUUGGCUUAGAAGCAGCCAUCAUUUAAAGAAAGCGUAAUAGCUCACUGGUCGAGUCGGCCUGCGCGGAAGAUGUAACGGGGCUAAACCAUGCACCGAAGCUGCGGCAGCGACGCUUAUGCGUUGUUGGGUAGGGGAGCGUUCUGUAAGCCUGCGAAGGUGUGCUGUGAGGCAUGCUGGAGGUAUCAGAAGUGCGAAUGCUGACAUAAGUAACGAUAAAGCGGGUGAAAAGCCCGCUCGCCGGAAGACCAAGGGUUCCUGUCCAACGUUAAUCGGGGCAGGGUGAGUCGACCCCUAAGGCGAGGCCGAAAGGCGUAGUCGAUGGGAAACAGGUUAAUAUUCCUGUACUUGGUGUUACUGCGAAGGGGGGACGGAGAAGGCUAUGUUGGCCGGGCGACGGUUGUCCCGGUUUAAGCGUGUAGGCUGGUUUUCCAGGCAAAUCCGGAAAAUCAAGGCUGAGGCGUGAUGACGAGGCACUACGGUGCUGAAGCAACAAAUGCCCUGCUUCCAGGAAAAGCCUCUAAGCAUCAGGUAACAUCAAAUCGUACCCCAAACCGACACAGGUGGUCAGGUAGAGAAUACCAAGGCGCUUGAGAGAACUCGGGUGAAGGAACUAGGCAAAAUGGUGCCGUAACUUCGGGAGAAGGCACGCUGAUAUGUAGGUGAAGCGACUUGCUCGUGGAGCUGAAAUCAGUCGAAGAUACCAGCUGGCUGCAACUGUUUAUUAAAAACACAGCACUGUGCAAACACGAAAGUGGACGUAUACGGUGUGACGCCUGCCCGGUGCCGGAAGGUUAAUUGAUGGGGUCAGCGUAAGCGAAGCUCUUGAUCGAAGCCCCGGUAAACGGCGGCCGUAACUAUAACGGUCCUAAGGUAGCGAAAUUCCUUGUCGGGUAAGUUCCGACCUGCACGAAUGGCGUAAUGAUGGCCAGGCUGUCUCCACCCGAGACUCAGUGAAAUUGAACUCGCUGUGAAGAUGCAGUGUACCCGCGGCAAGACGGAAAGACCCCGUGAACCUUUACUAUAGCUUGACACUGAACAUUGAGCCUUGAUGUGUAGGAUAGGUGGGAGGCUUUGAAGUGUGGACGCCAGUCUGCAUGGAGCCGACCUUGAAAUACCACCCUUUAAUGUUUGAUGUUCUAACGUGGACCCGUAAUCCGGGUUGCGGACAGUGUCUGGUGGGUAGUUUGACUGGGGCGGUCUCCUCCUAAAGAGUAACGGAGGAGCACGAAGGUUGGCUAAUCCUGGUCGGACAUCAGGAGGUUAGUGCAAUGGCAUAAGCCAGCUUGACUGCGAGCGUGACGGCGCGAGCAGGUGCGAAAGCAGGUCAUAGUGAUCCGGUGGUUCUGAAUGGAAGGGCCAUCGCUCAACGGAUAAAAGGUACUCCGGGGAUAACAGGCUGAUACCGCCCAAGAGUUCAUAUCGACGGCGGUGUUUGGCACCUCGAUGUCGGCUCAUCACAUCCUGGGGCUGAAGUAGGUCCCAAGGGUAUGGCUGUUCGCCAUUUAAAGUGGUACGCGAGCUGGGUUUAGAACGUCGUGAGACAGUUCGGUCCCUAUCUGCCGUGGGCGCUGGAGAACUGAGGGGGGCUGCUCCUAGUACGAGAGGACCGGAGUGGACGCAUCACUGGUGUUCGGGUUGUCAUGCCAAUGGCACUGCCCGGUAGCUAAAUGCGGAAGAGAUAAGUGCUGAAAGCAUCUAAGCACGAAACUUGCCCCGAGAUGAGUUCUCCCUGACUCCUUGAGAGUCCUGAAGGAACGUUGAAGACGACGACGUUGAUAGGCCGGGUGUGUAAGCGCAGCGAUGCGUUGAGCUAACCGGUACUAAUGAACCGUGAGG
rnacentral:rRNA from 1 species